rnacentral:rRNA from 1 species
GUAGGUGAACCAGCGGAGGGAUCAUUACCGAGUUUACAACUCCCAAACCCCUGUGAACAUACCUAUACGUUGCCUCGGCGGAUCAGCCCGCGCCCCGUAAAACGGGACGGCCCGCCCGAGGACCCCUAAACUCUGUUUUUAGUGGAACUUCUGAGUAAAACAAACAAAUAAAUCAAAACUUUCAACAACGGAUCUCUUGGUUCUGGCAUCGAUGAAGAACGCAGCAAAAUGCGAUAAGUAAUGUGAAUUGCAGAAUUCAGUGAAUCAUCGAAUCUUUGAACGCACAUUGCGCCCGCCAGUAUUCUGGCGGGCAUGCCUGUUCGAGCGUCAUUUCAACCCUCAAGCUCAGCUUGGUGUUGGGACUCGCGGUAACCCGCGUUCCCCAAAUCGAUUGGCGGUCACGUCGAGCUUCCAUAGCGUAGUAAUCAUACACCUCGUUACUGGUAAUCGUCGCGGCCACGCCGUUAAACCCCAACUUCUGAAUGUUGACCUCGGAUCAGGUAGGAAUACCCGCUGAACUUAAGCAUAUCAAUAAGCGGAGGAAAAGAAACCAACAGGGAUUGCCCUAGUAACUGC